UCCUGUCGCGGCGAUUCACUCCUCCUCCCGGAAUGCUGCGACGGGAUCGAUGACCAUCCUCCUCCCGGUUGUCGAUAAAAUCGAAAGCCUGCCGCCUCCUCCUCCCGCGGCAGGCUUUCUGC
rnacentral:sRNA from 1 species